UACGGAGGGUGCAAGCGUUAUCCGGAUUCACUGGGUUUAAAGGGUGCGUAGGCGGCAGGUAAGUCCGUGGUGAAAUCUCUGAGCUUAACUCAGAAACUGCCAUGGAUACUAUUUGUCUUGAAUGUUGUGGAGGUAAGCGGAAUAUGUCAUGUAGCGGUGAAAUGCUUAGAUAUGACAUAGAACACCAAUUGCGAAGGCAGCUUACUACACAAAUAUUGACGCUGAGGCACGAAAGCGUGGGGAUCAAACAGGA
rnacentral:rRNA from 1 species